AGAAUCAAUUGUUUGACGGGUAUAAAUUGGGCUGGGGCCUGCGUAUUAGCUCAAGGAGUUUUGAGGCAUCGAUUUUGCAGGCGAGAAGGCUACGGGUUAGGACUUCCCUCACUUCUAGUGCUAUUAGUGAGCUCCGCUUUUGUUCGUGGAGUACUCCUUUGAGUCGUCAUUAUUUAGCUAUUUCUUUGUUUACUUAGAGAACUGGCGAGGAAAUCUCAUGUCCUGAGCAGUGCGUCAGUUUAUCAGUAGAGGCUUCAUAGACACAGUCGGUGGGUUAAGAUUCAAGUGUUUUUAAUAAUAAACUUGUAAUAUUUCAGUAGUUACUACGAAUAACGUUUUGAAGUUGGUUUAUUUUGGAUAUUUAAAUUAAUUAAAAGUAUUUGGUUACA